rnacentral:tRNA from 6 species
UUGUAGCUCAGCUGGAUAGAGCAACGGCCUUCUAAGCCGUGGGUCGGGGGUUCGAAUCCCUUCA